rnacentral:rRNA from 1 species
ACAGCAGUCGCCACGGGAAUACGAAGGGGGCUAGCGUUGCUCGGAAUUACUGGGCGUAAAGGGAGCGUAGGCGGGUCGUUUAGUCAGAGGUGAAAUCCCGGGGCUCAACCUCGGAACUGCCUUUGAUACUGGCGACCUUGAGUAUGGGAGAGGUAAGCGGAACUCCGAGUGUAGAGGUGAAAUUCGUAGAUGUUCGGAAGAACACCAGUGGCGAAGGCGGCUUACUGGCCCAUUACUGACGCUGAGGCUCGAAAGCGUGGGGAGCAAACAGGAUUAGAUACCCCCGUAGUCCCUGUCUCUUAUAA